GGGAUUCCCUCAGUAACGGCGAGUGAAGAGGGAGAAGCCCAGCGCUGAAUCGUAUUGCUUGCAAAGGUAGUAUGACAUGUGGCGUGAAGCUGGCGGCUAUUGCUGUUGUCGAUGCGUGUAAGUCUCCCUGAGCGGGGCUCAGUCCCAGAGAUGGUGCUAGGCCCGUAUCGCGCGUGACAAGUACAGCAAUGUUCGUUAGCGGAGAGUCAGGUUGCUUGGGAACGCAAUCUAAAGUCGGUGGUACACUCCAUCGAAGGCUAAAUAUGGCUUCGAGUCCGAUAGCGAACAAGUACCGUGAGGGAAAAUUGAAAAGCACUUUGAAGAGAGAGCGAAAUAGUGCGUGAAACCGCUCAGAGGUAAGCAGAUGGGCCUUUGAAGGUGUGCAUAGGAUUUAUUUCCUAGUUCGUACGCCACCGUCGUUGCUUGAUUUUAUGGUGCGCCAUGCGCUGACAUUUGGACACCCGAGAUUGGGACUCGUGCCUGCUCGGGAUGCUCGGUGUUGGACGUAAUGAGUAUAGCGGCACUCGGUAACGAAGCAGGGCAUUGUCGUUGCUGUAAAGCGCCGGCUGUGUUUGCUUGCUGGCGUAUUUUGCUGUUGUAACGAGACGCAAGUCUCGGUAUGCGGCGUACGUCGCAACUCAAGCAUUAGCCCCGGCAUAACGACUU
rnacentral:rRNA from 1 species